rnacentral:rRNA from 1 species
UUCAACCUACGGGGGGCAGCAGUGGGGAAUAUUGCGCAAUGGGCGAAAGCCUGACGCAGCGACGCCGCGUGAGGGAUGAAGGUCUUCGGAUCGUAAACCUCUGUCAGCAGGGAAGAACGGUCACUGUGCUGAUCAGCAGUGAAUUGACGGUACCUGCAAAGGAAGCACCGGCUAACUCCGUGCCAGCAGCCGCGGUAAUACGGAGGGUGCGAGCGUUAAUCAGAAUUACUGGGCGUAAAGCGCUCGUAGGCGGGAUGUCAAGUCAAGGGAGAAAU